GACGAACGCUGGCGGCGUGCUUAACACAUGCAAGUCGAACGGAAAGGCCCUGCUUUUGUGGGGUGCUCGAGUGGCGAACGGGUGAGUAACACGUGAGUAACCUGCCCUUGACUUUGGGAUAACUUCAGGAAACUGGGGCUAAUACCAGAUAGGAGCUCCUGCUGCAUGGUGGGGGUUGGAAAGUUUCGGCGGUUGGGGAUGGACUCGCGGCUUAUCAGCUUGUUGGUGGGGUAGUGGCUUACCAAGGCUUUGACGGGUAGCUGGCCUGAGAGGGUGACCGGCCACAUUGGGACUGAGAUACGGCCCAGACUCCUACGGGAGGCAGCAGUGGGGAAUAUUGCACAAUGGGCGGAAGCCUGAUGCAGCAACGCCGCGUGCGGGAUGACGGCCUUCGGGUUGUAAACCGCUUUCGCCUGUGACGAAGCGUGAGUGACGGUAAUGGGUAAAGAAGCACCGGCUAACUACGUG
rnacentral:rRNA from 1 species